GACGAACGCUGGCGGCGUGCUUAACACAUGCAAGUCGAACGAAAAGAGGGAAAGAGCUUGCUCUUUCCGGAAUUGAGUGGCAAACGGGUGAGUAACACGUAAACAACCUGCCUUCAGGAUGGGGACAACAGACGGAAACGACUGCUAAUACCGAAUAAGUUCCAAGAGCCGCAUGGCCCAUGGAAGAAAAGGUGGCCUCUACCUGUAAGCUAUCGCCUGAAGAGGGGUUUGCGUCUGAUUAGCUGGUUGGAGGGGUAACGGCCCACCAAGGCGACGAUCAGUAGCCGGUCGGAGAGGAUGAACGGCCACACUGGGACUGAGACACGGUCCAGACUCCUACGGGAGGCAGCAGUGGGGAAUCUUCCGCAAUGGGCGAAAGACUGACGGAGCAACGCCGCGGGAGGGAUGACGGCCUUCGGGUUGUAAAACUCUGUGAUCCGGGACGAAAAGGCAGAGUGCGAAGAACAAACUGCAUUGACGGUACCGGAAAAGCAAGCCACGGCUAACUACGUG
rnacentral:rRNA from 1 species